rnacentral:tRNA from 1 species
GGAGAGGUGGCCGAGCGGCUGAAGGCACUCGCCUGCUAAGCGAGUAAGGGGCGCAAGCUCUUUCGCGGGUUCGAAUCCCGCCCUCUCCG